AUAACAACGGAUAAUAGCGG
rnacentral:snRNA from 1 species